GCUCAGGUUGCGUAACCUGGCAUCGCGUAAGCCUGGAGAGCUUAUGGGAGCAAUCCCUUGAGGGUCCGAAUCCCUCCCUGAGCG
rnacentral:tRNA from 2 species